rnacentral:rRNA from 1 species
UACGUAGGGGGCAAGCGUUGUCCGGAUUUAUUGGGCGUAAAGAGCGUGUAGGCGGUCAGGUAGGUCCGUUGUGAAAACUCGAGGCUCGACCUCGAGACGCCGAUGGAAACCAUCUGACUAGAGUCCGGAAGAGGAGAGUGGAAUUCCUGGUGUAGCGGUGAAAUGCGCAGAUAUCAGGAAGAACACCCGUGGCUAAGGCGGCUCUCUAGUACGGUACUGACGCUGAGACGCGAAAGCGUGGGGAGCGAACAGG